rnacentral:rRNA from 1 species
CACGUAGGGUGCGAGCGUUGUCCGGAAUUAUUGGGCGUAAAGAGCUCGUAGGCGGUGUGUCGCGUCGGCCGUGAAAACCUGCAGCUUAACUGUGGGCGUGCGGUCGAUACGGGCAUCACUGGAGUUCGGCAGGGGAGACUGGAAUUCCUGGUGUAGCGGUGAAAUGCGCAGAUAUCAGGAGGAACACCGGUGGCGAAGGCGGGUCUCUGGGCCGAUUCUGACGCUGAGACGCGAAAGCGUGGGGAGCGAACAGG